CAGACUCUUCAGACCGAUCCCUUCCACCUCCUCUGGCCCCGCCUGGGCCCCAGCCAUCCCUGAAGAGGCCUGCUCUGCUCUGGGGCUGCUCUGCACUCCGUGAUGCUGGGGACCAGUCCAGGACAUUUGACCCUGCCCCCAGAGCUCCAGGUCUGAUUAUUACACAAUGACAGCCGUGCUGGUGGAUGUUAACUAUUAACCAGAGGAUCCCAAAAUCGCCUCUUGAAGUCUACCACACAGAACAAGAAUUUCAGACCGCACUCCUCUGUUUUCAAAGAACAAUGCUCCAAGGAAAGUCACAAAAACAACGUUCAGAGGGGCGGGCGGUUUUCUUCCAGCACUUGGACAGCCCUGAAAAACAACCACAGAAGUCUUCGCAUUCAAAACCUAUUUGCACAUCGGCAUAAAACCAGGAGCCAGGACAAAGUCCCUCUGCCGGCACCCCAGCGGGAAGGGGCCUGGGCCCUGUGGGGUGGCCACGCCUCCACCGCCCAUCGGCGGGAAGGAAGCCUAGGAAGCCAGCGUGUCUGAGACAGGACAGGGUGUUCUCAGGAGGUGAGAACCUCCCAGCCUCUGAAGGCCACAGGAAGCCUCUGUGGAACCAUGGGGCCCACACACGGGACCCCUGUCAUUCCCACAUGGACUCUUCCCUUUCCUCUGCUUCCUGAGGCGAUGGCUCCGAGACUCGGGGGGCCGUGUGCCCCCGGGCACCUCUCAUCCUAGCCAGGUCCUCAGCCUCCCUUCCCUGUCCGCUUCUACCGCCCCUCGAGCUCUACCUCACUCCCUCAGAACCUCUCCCACAGCACCCAGCCCGGCAUGACCCCCUCAUCUCUCUGUGGGACCAAAGUCCGCAGGUUCCCAGGCCCACGCAAGUCUCGUGACCCAGCCCAAACCACCGCCUCCCUCCGCACCUGGCACCUGCUGUGGCGACGCCAUAUGGGCCGCACUCAGAGGGUGCUGCCCUGGAAGGAACUUAGUCCUCUGGGACACUCAGUCCCCUACUCUAGACAGCUGUAAGGAUGGAGUAAGACUGGCUGGGCACAGCCAGACUCGCACAUGAGUGCGGUCUCCCACGCAUCUGUCACGGUGAUGCAGUGCCGGGCCCUGAACACCCAGAGUUGGGAGCUAAGCAAACCUCUCCUCCAGCCCAAGCCUUUUGUAAGAGGGGAAAGGCGCUGUUGGAGGGAUGGCAGCAGGGCACCAGCAGCUGUGAGACCAGGGCUGCCAUGAGGAUGCUGCAGGGCGGCACCACCGGCCCUGCGCACAGGCCAGGAGGCAGAGGCCUGCAGACAAGUCGGACCACGGCCCCGCCCCAGGAUCUGACAGCCUGGCCUUGGCGCCGU